rnacentral:rRNA from 1 species
CGAACCGGGGGAACUGAAACAUCUAAGUACCCCGAGGAAAAGAAAUCAACCGAGAUUCCCCCAGUAGCGGCGAGCGAACGGGGAGCAGCCCAGAGCCUGAAUCAGUAUGUGUGUUAGUGGAAGCGUCUGGAAAGGCGCGCGAUACAGGGUGACAGCCCCGUACACAAAAAUGCACAUGCUGUGAGCUCGAUGAGUAGGGCGGGACACGUGGUAUCCUGUCUGAAUAUGGGGGGACCAUCCUCCAAGGCUAAAUACUCCUGACUGACCGAUAGUGAACCAGUACCGUGAGGGAAAGGCGAAAAGAACCCCGGCGAGGGGAGUGAAAAAGAACCUGAAACCGUGUACGUACAAGCAGUGGGAGCACGCUUAGGCGUGUGACUGCGUACCUUUUGUAUAAUGGGUCAGCGACUUAUAUUCUGUAGCAAGGUUAACCGAAUAGGGGAGCCGAAGGGAAACCGAGUCUUAACUGGGCGUUAAGUUGCAGGGUAUAGACCCGAAACCCGGUGAUCUAGCCAUGGGCAGGUUGAAGGUUGGGUAACACUAACUGGAGGACCGAACCGACUAAUGUUGAAAAAUUAGCGGAUGACUUGUGGCUGGGGGUGAAAGGCCAAUCAAACCGGGAGAUAGCUGGUUCUCCCCGAAAGCUAUUUAGGUAGCGCCUCGUGAAUUCAUCUCCGGGGGUAGAGCACUGUUUCGGCAAGGGGGUCAUCCCGACUUACCAACCCGAUGCAAACUGCGAAUACCGGAGAAUGUUAUCACGGGAGACACACGGCGGGUGCUAACGUCCGUCGUGAAGAGGGAAACAACCCAGACCGCCAGCUAAGGUCCCAAAGUCAUGGUUAAGUGGGA